GAGGGGUCGACUUCGGCAGGGAGACGGGGGAGGGGGGUCGUUUCCGGCAGAGGGUGAAGGGGAGUGGUGCCGUGUCGGGGUGGGGAAAGGAAUGGGGAAAGGAAUGUGGAAAGGGGAAGGGGUUGGGUGGGAGCGUCGUGGGUGGGGGGAGAGGUCGUCGGUGUCGGCGCCGGGGAAUUUUGUGGUCACCGGCCACUGGCGGCCUGGCAGGGGAGGGGGGUGAGCUGGCAGGGGAGGGUGAGGGGGGGUUGGGUUGGGUUUAUUAUUUUAUUUUUAUAAUUAAUAGAUUUUUUUUUGGAAAUUUUGUCUAGAAGGGACUUAUAUAUUCACUAUUUUGUCUGGAAGGACCUUAUAUGUUCAAAGUGGUCUAAAAGGACCUUAUAAGUUUGUUUUGUUGUCUAGCGGGACCUUGACGUCGGAUUCAGGCGUUUGACUUUUUUACUCCGGCGUUGACUAGUCACAUGACUCUCACAUGACUUAAAAAAUUACCCUCCCUCUUAUUUUUUUUCCCUUUUUUUCCUCCAUUUCCCUUUAUUUGCCCAGAUUUUUCCCCAAAUUGCUUCUCUCUCCUCACGAACUGGGGUUCAUCAUAUCAAUUUAAUCCAUUAUGUUCCUUAAGUUUCUGAAGAAAUUCAAGCAGGCAUCUUUCAAUUGAUUCCUUUACGCAUCAGAAGUUAUCAAAGUGCAAUUGUGGCCUUCCUCGUGCGCAAAGGACUUCAUGGACUCUGUAAUUGUAUUGCAGUAGGGAGUGAACGAAAAUAUGAUGUAAUAAUCCCAAUAUUUGAAUGAAUCAAUGAAGAUUAAUUUGCUUUGAA